UACGAAGGGGCUAGCGUUGUUCGGAAUUACUGGCGUAAAGCGCACGUAGGCGGAUACUUAAGUCAGGGGUGAAAGUCCCGGGGCUCAACCCCGGAACUGCCUUUGAUACUGGGUAUCUCGAGUCCGGAAGAGGUGAGUGGAAUUCCGAGUGUAGAGGUGAAAUUCGUAGAUAUUCGGAGGAACACCAGUGGCGAAGGCGGCUCACUGGUCCGGUACUGACGCUGAGGUGCGAAAGCGUGGGGAGCAAACAGGG
rnacentral:rRNA from 1 species